rnacentral:rRNA from 1 species
GAUACGUAAAUAUGAGGCUGUACGCGGCUGUGCUCUCGGGCCAGUUUUGCGGAGGCUGAAUUAUUUAUUACCCUUGUCUUUUGCGCACUUGUUGUUUCCUGGGCGGGUUCGCCCGCCACCAGGACCACAUCAUAAACCUUUUUUAUGCAGUUGCAAUCAGCGUCAGUAUAACAAAUGUAAAUCAUUUACAACUUUCAACAACGGAUCUCUUGGUUCUGGCAUCGAUGAAGAACGCAGCGAAAUGCGAUACGUAGUGUGAAUUGCAGAAUUCAGUGAAUCAUCGAAUCUUUGAACGCACAUUGCGCCCUUUGGUAUUCCAAAGGGCAUGCCUGUUCGAGCGUCAUUUGUACCCUCAAGCUUUGCUUGGUGUUGGGCGUUUUUUGUCUUUGGUUGCCAAAGACUCGCCUUAAAAGGAUUGGCAGCCGGCCUACUGGUUUCGCAGCGCAGCACAUUUUUGCGCUUGCAAUCAGCAAAAGAGGACGGCAAUCCAUCAAGACUCCUUCUCACGUUUGACCUCGGAUCAGGUAGGGAUACCCGCUGAACUUAAGCAUAUCAAAAGGCCGGAGGAA